rnacentral:rRNA from 1 species
CUCAAAGAUUAAGCCAUGCAAGUGGUUAUUUAACCCGACAGUUUAAAUAAGUGUUAUAUACUAAUUCUUCAUACAAUUACACACGUAGUUUGAAUUAACAUCAACAAUUCUCACUUACGCAACUGCAGACAGCUGCUUAAUACAGUCACACUUGUCCUGACUUGGCGCAAUUCUUAAUCUGUGUUUCAAUUUAUUAUCUUUUGCACACGCCUCGCGCGCGCUGCAUAUAGUGUUAAUUUGUCGCACAAUUAGAAUUAACAAUACAACCAUAUAUUUGGUUUAUAUGUGAUUUCUCACUUGAGCAGAGCUAUUCGUAGCUCGCUUAUCUUAAUAUUCAAUUAUGGAUAACUCAGGGAAAGUUUGGCUAAUACGUACGAGUCACAAUUUAAUAACAACCAUUAUAUAUAAUUUCCUCAGCACUCAAUGGUAAACUUAUGAGCUUUGCGUACUUCUGUCUUCGGACGAUGCGCUCUCAUUCUUCGUUUAACUGCAACAUGAGAGACAUUGAGCACGCCGUCUUUUGGUCCUUCRUGACUGAUUGACAACACGCUGAGCAGACUUUGAGAUUCUUUAAUUUCGAAGCAUGUCUUACAAGCAUCUACAGCAUCAAGUCACAGGGUUGGCAAGUGUAUUAUUGAACCUUCAAAGCAGUCACGCAUACGGAAGAGUAGUUUCUGAUCCCAUAGAAGGAGCACCGUACAAUGAGAGACCGCUCUUAGUUCUAAGGAACGCAGCAGGCGCGUAAAUUGCCCAAUGCUAGUACCCUACUAUUGCAUUACAUUACGCAGACAACUAAUAAUGUUGACUAAUUAAUAAUAAACACACGUUUAACUAUCUGUCACAAUACAUACUAUUUAACCUUGUCUACAAACUGUAAUACUCUUUAAUUUCAUUUACUGAGGCAGUGACAAGCUGUAACGGUUGAGUAUAAUAAUGACGAGUGUCUGGCAUUGCCGCUGCCUUCGGGUAAGCUUGGCAAUUUUGCCGACGCUUUGUGUGCUCAAUUGGAAUGCGGUGAGUUUAAGCAUCUCAGAACCUUUGGAUGGUAGUUCGUUUCGUUCUACUCUCUGAGUAUCUGAAUCUUCAAGUGGAGGGCAAGUCUGGUGC